CCUACGGGUGGCAGCAGUCGAGAAUCAUUCACAAUGGGGGAAACCCUGAUGGUGCGACGCCGCGUGGGGGAAUGAAGGUCUUCGGAUUGUAAACCCCUGUCAUGUGGGAGCAAAUUAAAAAGAUAGUACCACAAGAGGAAGAGACGGCUAACUCUGUGCCAGCAGCCGCGGUAAUACAGAGGUCUCAAGCGUUGUUCGGAAUCACUGGGCGUAAAGCGUGCGUAGGCUGUUUCGUAAGUCGUGGGUGAAAGGCGCGGGCUCAACCCGCGGACGGCACAUGAUACUGCGAGACUAGAGUAAGGGAGGGGGAACCGGAAUUCUCGGUGUAGCAGUGAAAUGCGUAGAUAUCGAGAGGAACACUCGUGGCGAAGGCGGGUUCCUGGACAUUAACUGACGCUGAGGCACGAAGGCCAGGGGAGCGAAAGGGAUUAGAUACCCCUGUAGUC
rnacentral:rRNA from 1 species